UAAUCUGCGACGCAAAUGACUCUUUAAGUCACCUGCGUCGCAGAUUAGUAAUUCUGCGACGCAGAGGAGGUAAAAAAAAUUCGGAAGUUUUUAAUUAUUCCUCACCCACGCGUACUGCACCCUAAUUUGUCGAAGAACAAAACAAACAGGCGCAGCUACCUUCACGACUUCACCCUCAUCCUCCAUCGAUCUUCGAUCUUCUUCACCCUCAUCCUCCAUCGAUCUUCUUCACCCUACACCAGGCGCAGCUACAUUUAGAGAGAGUUUCGCUGGAACCGUAGGCCACAGCCGCCGCCGCCGCCGCCUCCAUUGGAGAAUGCCCACUGAAUAGGAAUCGAUCCCUGUCUCCAUCAGUGGUUUGGCUGAAUUGAGUCUCGUUUGGGAGUAAGAAGAUUUACUCCGAUGGCGAAUAUGCCGGAGAAAUUGAACCAGUGUAAGCUUGAUGCUCGCCGUGAACAAUGCCUUUCGCAAGGUCCUGCAUUCAUUUUCUUUUCUUUUUUUGAUUUUUACAGUUCUGUAUUUUUCUUGCAUAAAUUAAAUUGGAAUCUUGCAUCCACUAAUUAUCUAGAGCUUGCUCUCUUUUUUUCA